AAGAAUUUAGGUUAAAUUAAACCGUUACUGUUCAAAAGUAGAGAUACUCUUUGGUAGUAAGUCUUG
rnacentral:tRNA from 1 species